GCCUGGAUAGCUCAGCUGGUUAGAGCAUUGUGCUGAUAACGCCAAGGUGCAGGUUUGAUCCCCAUCUGGGGCA
rnacentral:tRNA from 1 species